rnacentral:lncRNA from 1 species
AGGGUUUGAGAUUUUCUUGCUUCUGAUGUUUUGUUUAAGGUAAAUUGGACGCUUGUAUUUGUGUGGUUAUUGAUGUAUGUGUCUUUAGAUUCCGCUGAUGAACUCCCAAUGUUUGCCUGUUUAAAGCAUUUACGUGAUCGUCUUGUCUAGCUUGUGAAUUGUUUUUUAGGGAUAUGUGUUUAAGCUAUGUUGCUCGUACCUGUCAAAAAUAUUGUUCCUCCAAGAAUAUUUUACUUUUGGAGGAUACGACGCGGCUACACACACACUUUUGUAUUAUGUGAAGUGAGUUGCUUUAUGUAGUUUUAAAUUUGACAUUGCAAUAUCGAUGACAAGUUAGUGUUUUAUAUGCAAUUGAAGGAAAUAGGUAGAACAGUCUUAGGGUAAGUGAGUCUUUACCUUUAAAACUACUUGGAAAAUUUUGUAUUUUUAAAAUUUAUUCUGAAUUAUCCGUGGAAGGUAUCGUGUCCCUGAGAUAUUUGGAAGGGGGCAUUCAUGUCGUCUUUUGCAGUAGUAUUAUAGCUUUGCAAUAUAAUGUUUUGAUUGGAUUGUUGUUUCCCAUCGCAUCGUUUAUAGUGUUGUUUGAAUAGACUUCAUGGUUCAACAUUUCUUGUUAGCUUGAUGGUUUCGAGAGUUCUGCUGUUGGGACUCUCUCCAAAACUUUGCCACAGAUCCUGCGACACAUGCUGAUGGUGUUUUUGAGGUGUCCCUAAUUGUUCGUCCACAUGAUUUUCCUAGCGAUUUUCAUCAGGAACGCUCUUUAACAUUAGGACACGCGGUGUACUUCUCGCACACUUUGUUGUUCCAGUGCUGCUGGCUAGACACUAGUAAUAUACUUGUAUUAUCAAUUGAGCUUUUGUUUUCAUUGCUAUAUUCUUGUUCCGACGUCCUCCUUGUCCACG